GGGCCUAUAGCUCAGCGGUAGAGCCCCCGGCUCAUAACCGGUUGGUCCUAGGUUCGAAUCCUAGUGGGCCCA
rnacentral:tRNA from 1 species